rnacentral:rRNA from 1 species
GAUGAACGCUGGCGGCGUGCCUAAUACAUGCAAGUCGAGCGAACAGACGAGGAGCUUGCUCCUCUGACGUUAGCGGCGGACGGGUGAGUAACACGUGGAUAACCUACCUAUAAGACUGGGAUAACUUCGGGAAACCGGAGCUAAUACCGGAUAAUAUAUUGAACCGCAUGGUUCAAUAGUGAAAGACGGUUUUGCUGUCACUUAUAGAUGGAUCCGCGCCGCAUUAGCUAGUUGGUAAGGUAACGGCUUACCAAGGCAACGAUGCGUAGCCGACCUGAGAGGGUGAUCGCCCACACUGGAACUGAGACACGGUCCAGACUCCUACGGGAGGCAGCAGUAGGGAAUCUUCCGCAAUGGGCGAAAGCCUGACGGAGCAACGCCGCGUGAGUGAUGAAGGUCUUCGGAUCGUAAAACUCUGUUAUUAGGGAAGAACAAAUGUGUAAGUAACUAUGCACGUCAUGACGGUACCUAAUCAGAAAGCCACGGCUAACUACGUG